UCCACACAAGCAAAUAAUUCCUUAAACUCCACAUUCACUAUCCACAUUCGCAUCUGAGUGGAGGAUAUUGGCAUGGCAGGCGAUCCAACAAUGAAUGACAACAGGUAGGUUACUGAUCUGUUUCAAUUUUUCAUGCCUUAUUUUUAUGGCGAGUGGGUCUGCCUAUGUAUUCGGCAACAUUCUGAAAUCAUUGUAUCCCUGAUAUAUAUUAUGACAUGAAGUAUUUCGAAGAAUAUAAUAGACUCCCUCAAUUCUUCAAAUUGUUUUACUCAAUCCAACACUCGAACAACCUGGUCAGUUUAAUUACAACAUACAUACGAAUUUCAUUUACUUUGUUCAACCAAAAUAUUUGGAAUUGUAUAUCAUGUCAUGUAAUGCUUGCCAAACAAACAUGUCAUGCAAAUUAUUUGGAAUUGUAUACCUCCAGAGUUUGUGUCCGAGCAUGGCGACUCAAUCCCUUAUCAAUGUUUACUCGCUGCCUAAAAUCAGAAGUAACAAUUGCAAAAAGGUCUUGUGGCUGGUACUUUCAUGAGGGGUGGUCUGAGUUUGUUUACAAGAAUCAUGUUUCAAAUGGAGAAUGGAUCACAUUCACUCAUGCGGGCGAUGGACUCUUCUACGUGAAGCGAUUUAUGUUCACGAGUGGAUGCCCACCUCGUAGUGACCUCGAGAGUAAGUAUCGAUUGUUAGAGUACUGUGAUGAUAUGACUGCAAUUGUAUAGCAAUGCCCUGAUCAAUGUAGUUGGGGGUCUCCCUAUUAUGCCAAUCGACGACCAACUGGAUGUGGAUUCAUCCGACUGAUGGUUAGAUUCACUGUCUGAAAUUGAGUCUCUAACUGGAGUGGGCCUUGAUGCCGAGUUAACCGAAAGUCACACAAAACCAUUGUUUACCAUCACUUUCUCGGGGUUAGCAGUAGAACAACAUCUCAAUGUACCAACCGAUUUUUGGAAUGCACACAUAGCAAUGGGUGGACAUAGGAUAAAGGCAUGCCUCACCGGACAUGGGACGUGCUUAUAGCAAAAAAGAACAAGGUAUGUCGUCCAUGGUGGUUGGAAGACUUUUGUUCGGGAUAACGACAUAGGAACCAGUGACAAUUGCACAUUUAACCUUGUUUAGGCAGACGGUCUCCACUUCCGUGUUAGUGUGAUCCGGUAGAUGAAAAAGGUACACUUCUAGGUGGUAAACACAAACAAAUUUUGUGAUAUGCCAGCACCAAUGUCUGUUACAUCUAAUUUGGGUAGUAGUAUUUAUUUUGGAAUUGAUAAUGUAUGUAGUGAAUGACUCGUAUGUAUAUGUGUAGUAACUAGUAUGACUUAGUGUGUAAUCUCAGUAACUUUUGUGUAUGCAAUGCUUAAUCAUCUCAGUAGCAAUGUCGGGUUGUCAAGUGCAGAUGAAUCCAUACACGUGCAGUCCCAAAUAAUAGAGUCUAUAAAUCCAAUAUGUUACAAAACGCAUACUUGAAGAAAUAUUCUAGUUUUAAGUACAUACCAUACCAACCGAAAGAGAAAACAAAAGGAGGCACACACGGUCCUCAAGCAUGGAGUUCUUAUAAUUUACAAAUUUCAUAACUCAUAAACUUGCAACUUGCUAAAUGACCUUGCCAACUAAAAUACCAAGGAGUACCAACACUAUGCACAUGAAACCGAUUAACACCUGCGCAACGAUGGGAUUUGACAACUUGCUUCCACAACAAUGGCCUGCACCGCCUUUGCAGCCCACAGCAUCAUGCAUCGGCAUUAGAAUGCCCACGCUCCCCGCUUAGGUUUGUGAAGGUCCACAUCUGACCGUUUUCGUGGUUUGUCUGCGUGAUAUUAGUCAGACCACUUGAAGGAACCCGGGUGUUGUCCAUUGGCGGAACACUUGUAGUAGUACCUUCCAGCAUGUUUAGCGGCCGGCCCGGCAUAACGCAACUCCAUU